UACGUAGGGUGCGAGCGUUGUCCGGAAUUAUUGGGCGUAAAGAGCUCGUAGGCGGUCUGUCGCGUCGGUCGUGAAAACUUGGGGCUUAACCCUGAGCUUGCGGUCGAUACGGGCAUGACUGGAGUUCGGCAGGGGAGACUGGAAUUCCUGGUGUAGCGGUGAAAUGCGCAGAUAUCAGGAGGAAUACCGGUGGGGUAGACGGCUCUCUGGACCGCCACUGACGCUGAGACACGAAAGCGUGGGUAGCAAACAGG
rnacentral:rRNA from 1 species